rnacentral:rRNA from 1 species
UACGUAGGGUGCAAGCGUUGUCCGGAAUUACUGGGCGUAAAGGGCUCGUAGGCGGCCAACUAAGUCAGACGUGAAAUCCCCCGGCUUAACCAGGGAACUGCGUCUGAUACUGGAUGGCUUGAGUUUGGGAGAGGGAUGCGGAAUUCCAGGUGUAGCGGUGAAAUGCGUAGAUAUCUGGAGGAACACCGGUGGCGAUGGCGACAUCCUGGGCCAACACUGACGCUGAGUGAGCGAAAGCCAGGGGAGCGAACGGG